UACAGAGGGGGCAAGCGUUGUUCGGAAUUACUGGGCGUAAAGGGCGCGUAGGCGGCCGACUAAGUCAGACGUGAAAUCCCCAGGCUCAACCUGGGAACUGCGUCUGAGACUGGACGGCUCGAAUCCGGGAGAGGGAUGUGGAAUUCCAGGUGUAGCGGUGAAAUGCGUAGAUAUCUGGAGGAACACCAACGGCGAAGGCAGCUCGCUGGGGCGGUACUGACGCUAAGGCGCGAAAGCGUGGGGAGCAAACAGG
rnacentral:rRNA from 1 species